CAGCGAGUUCAAGGCCAGCCUGGACCACAUCGGGAAACUGUCUCAAAAAACCCAAAAGAGAAGGAGGAGGAGGCGGAAGAAGACCCGGGGGAGGUGAAGGAGAGCCCUGUCCGUCCUGUCCCGGAACACGCUGCACGCUUACUUGAUAACCAAGUCACCGGGGCGAAGCCGCGGGACAUUUUCAGAGCGGCAGCCAGGAACCCUCGCAGGGUGUCGAAGCUUUGGGCGAUCCUCAGCCCUGGAGACCCACACCGCGGAACGCGCUCUGCCCGCCAAGAGCGACUGCCAGGAGGGAUAAGUAAGCAGCAGGGCGUUGCGUUAGAGGACUCGGCAGAUCAAUUUCCACUGAGCCCGAGCGCCCUCCCCCACCAGGGGUGGGACAUGCGCACUGUGACUACGUGGGGGAGGGAGAAAUCCAGUGCUGGGGACAGAUCCCAAACCUUGUGUGCACUGAGCAAGUGUCUGCUCCAGAGCUCCCCCCAGCCUUCGGACUCUACUCAGAAUCACGAUGCUCACACAGCCCUGAGAAGAAAGAACAAUGAAUUGCGUGGGGCACCGGGGGCGAACACCUGUGAUCCCAGCUGCGAGGAGGCUGAGACCAGAGGAUCACAAGUUGAAGCCCAGCCUCGCAACUUAGUAAAAACCCUCAAAAUUGAAAAAGUAAUAAAUGCAAGGAGAGGGCACUAGGGAUGUAACUCACCGGGAGCGCCCCCCGAGGUUUAAUCCCCAACACCAAAAACCUAAAUAAAUCUGAUAGUGGCCUUUUUAGAGGAGGAUGUGAAUCAGAAACACUUUCACUUCAUUUUUUUAAAAGUUACAUUAAAUAAAGUAAAACUGCAUUAGGUAUCCCACAAGGCUUUUUAAACACAAACCGUAGUUGCUGAAGUCUGUGAUGUCUCUGUAAGAAAACGCUGGAAGCCAGACAAAAGGCCGCUGACCCCGUGUUGGAACACGGUCAAGUAAUAAUUGAUAGCCGGGCAUGGUAGUGCACACCUGCCAUCCCAGCGCUCCAGGAGGCUGAGGCAGGAGGAUCAUCAGUUUGAGUCUCUUCUGGCAAUUUAGGGACUGGUGAGAUCGUGUCUCAAAAUAAAAAAUGAAAAGGCUUGAGGAUGUGGUCAGUGCAGAGGUCCUGGGUUCAAUUUCCAGUACUGGAAGGGGAAAAAAAUUGAUUAUCCUCCUGUCUACUUGUCUGGGCCAGCGACCGCACGCCAAAGAGCCUGGCUUGCCCUGGCCUGUCCCUGGCCUUCGCUCCCUCUCCUGGAAAUGCUUUCAGCACCUUUCCUCGGUGUCUGGGGCGUGAGGUGCUGCGUGUCCAAGUGUGGCCGGGGUUCCUUCAGGAACAGCUCGCCAGUUAACCGGAGUCCAGGUCCUCCUUGCCUCGAAGGAAGAGCUGGACAGGCCAAGCCAAAGGCGGUGCCAGAAGUUCAUCUGAAAAGUGAGGGGUGAAGGAGUAAGGGAAAACUCGGCUCCGCGGAGUGAAGUUGGACCAAAUAAAAGAGAGGAAACGAUACAAGCAAAAAUAAGGUGCGCCUGGUGCAGUGGCACGGAGCGGGCUCCCAGGGGCGCCUCCUCUCUUUUAUGCCACCAGCAUCUCGCGGGAGCCCGCGGGAAGCUCCACAUCCGGGGUCCUGGGAGUUAUUUGGCGCUGCCGCAGGUCCUGCAGCUGAGAGCGCAGCCCGCUCUGCCGUGCCCCUGAGAGGCGUCGAUCCCACACACCCGCAUGGGGUGUGAGGAGCGGAGGGCUCUGUCUCCUGUGGCUUCUUCCGGCGGGAAGGCGCUGCAGGCCCUACGUUCUGGGGGCUGUGUGCUAUCCCACUGCCUUGGGGUACUGAGGCUCUGGCUGGGUCAAAGCAAAUAAAACCUGUCAGAAAAUAAUGAGAAAGGAACCUUGAGCUGCCUGUUGGAUGGGACAGAGAAACUUUAUUAUUAGCCCAGAUGUGAGAUGCAGGUCAGACCUCCGCGCUUCCUGGAGAGAGGAAUGUGCGCGAGAGAUGCACGUCAGAUGAAUUAUUCAGGGCCGGAGAGCCUUGGCCUGAGCAAGGUCCUGUUCUCUUAUCUGUAGCAGCUGGAGCUUUGCCUUUUAAAGGGAAAUUUCAGGUCUUCCAGAGGCUCACGGGAGUUGCUUUUCCUUCUGGGUGAUCUUGUUCCUUAGUUCAGGUGGGACCGGCUUCAGUGUGGAAACAUGAACCCGAUUACCUGUCUGCGCCACUUUUGCUGCAGGGGGUGAGGCAAGGGUCCCUGAGAAGGCCCUUCCCAUGCUGGCUUUAACUGGUCAGCAGGCGUCCCCUCUCUCCACGUCUUCACUUGGUGACCAGAGUGGACGCGAGGUGGGGCCCUCCGGCCAGGAGCCAGCAGGACUCUGUUCCCGGCCAGUUGGGCGGCUUGUUGCACUUGGCCCAGACUGAUGACGUAUUGUACGUGCCCCAUGGUCUGUGGCUCUACUGUGAUAUCCGAGGGUAGAAACGGCCUUCCGUAUAACAUCUGAAAUGGGCUCAAACUUAGCCCCGAUUUGGGGAUGUUACAAGUCCUCAUGAUGUACCGGUAGCAGUCGGAGCCAGGGCUCAGACGUCUCUUGGCAAAGUUUGCCAGAGCUCCCUUCGGGGCCUGGUUGGCCGUACCUUUCCAGAAGAUUGAGGCCACCAGGACAAAUGAAAGUGGUGCUUUAUCCCCAAAGCCUUUGCCACUCCCGGAGUUAUCUGGGAGGUCACAGAAGGCCCAUUGUCGCUGCGGAGAGAGUGGGGUAGUCCGGAUCUGGGAUUCCUUUGAGAAGCGCCUUGACUACCUCAGCGCCCUUUGUGGAGCAGGGAGGAAAGGCUUCAGUCCUGCCUGUGAAGGUGUCGAUCAGGACCGACAUCUGUUUAAACCCCCCACGUGGUGGCACGCGGGUAACGUCUAGUUGCCAGUCCUCCCCAGGGCCUGUCCCUCUCCUCUGCGCAGGUUCCAGUGAAGGAGGUUCGGGCUCGCCCGGGUUACUGUGGGCACACAGUGGGCCCACGCUGCAGACCUGUCGGGCGG
rnacentral:lncRNA from 1 species